rnacentral:rRNA from 1 species
UGAGUAACGCGUGAGCAACCUGUCCCUUACAGGGGGAUAACACAGCGAAAGUUGUACUAAUACCGCAUGAGACCACAGUGAGACAUCUCGACAGGGGUCAAAGGAGCAAUCCGGUAAGGGGUGGGCUCGCGUCCGAUUAGAUAGUUGGUGAGGUAACGGCCCACCAAGUCGACGAUCGGUAGCCGACCUGAGAGGGUGAUCGGCCACAUUGGGACUGAGACACGGCCCAAACUCCUACGGGAGGCAGCAGUGGGGAAUAUUGGGCAAUGGGGGGAAAAAACCCCCUGACCCAGCAACGCCGCGUGAGGGAAGAAGGUUUUCGGAUCGUAAACCUCUGUCCUUGGUGAAGAGGAAGAGACGGUAGCCAAGGAGGAAGCCCCGGCUAACUACGUGCCAGCAGCCGC